rnacentral:rRNA from 1 species
UACAGAGGGUGCGAGCGUUGUUCGGAAUUAUUGGGCGUAAAGGGCGCGUAGGCGGUAUUGUAAGUCACCUGUGAAACCUCUAGGCUUAACCUAGAGCCUGCAGGCGAAACUGCCGGGCUUGAGUGUGGGAGAGGUGAGUGGAAUUGCAGGUGUAGCGGUGAAAUGCGUAGAUAUCUGCAGGAACACCUGUGGCGAAAGCGGCGACCUGGUCCGAUACUGACGCUGAGGCGCGAAAGCUAGGGGAGCAAACAGG